rnacentral:lncRNA from 1 species
CGCGCGUUUCGUCUACAAAAGAAUCAUCAGUGACGCUCGAAUCCAAAAAAGUUAAAAAGGCAAAAUAAAGUACGAAGUUGAAGAGCAUUGAGAACCAAAAUUCCUAAAAGUUUUGCCAAAUACAGCUAAGGUAAUCUAUGCCUGAGGUAGAAAAGCCUUAGUAUUUCAAAAAUUCAAAAAUUUGUAAACAGUCAAUUUUUGAAUUAAUUACACCUUAUGUAGGAAUCCUGGGUUUUGAUUGGUUGAUAGCCAGUGUAUUUUUCACCAAUUUACUGCUAUCAAAUGAAUAU